GACGAACCGUGCGAACGUUGUUCGGAAUCACUGGGCUUAAAGGGCGCGUAGGCGGGCUGACAAGUCUGGGAUGAAAUGCCGCGGCUCAACCGUGGAACUGCCUUAGAUACUGUCGGCCUCGAGGAAGGUAGGGGCAUGCGGAACUGUAGGUGGAGCGGUGAAAUGCGUUGAUAUCUACAGGAACUCCGGUGGCGAAAGCGGCGUGCUGGACCUUUUCUGACGCUGAGGCGCGAAAGCUAGGGGAGCAAACGGGG
rnacentral:rRNA from 1 species